GCCGGAGUGGCGGAAUGGCAGACGCGGCGGACUCAAAAUCCGCUGGCCGCAAGGCUGUGUGGGUUCGACUCCCUCCUCCGGUACCA
rnacentral:tRNA from 1 species